AACGAACGCUGGCGGCGUGCUUAACACAUGCAAGUCGAACGGAAAGGCCCUGCUUUUGUGGGGUGCUCGAGUGGCGAACGGGUGAGUAACACGUGAGUAACCUGCCCUUGACUUUGGGAUAACUUCAGGAAACUGGGGCUAAUACCGGAUAGGAGCUCCUGCUGCAUGGUGGGGGUUGGAAAGUUUCGGCGGUUGGGGAUGGACUCGCGGCUUAUCAGCUUGUUGGUGGGGUAGUGGCUUACCAAGGCUUUGACGGGUAGCCGGCCUGAGAGGGUGACCGGCCACAUUGGGACUGAGAUACGGCCCAGACUCCUACGGGAGGCAGCAGUGGGGAAUAUUGCACAAUGGGCGGAAGCCUGAUGCAGCAACGCCGCGUGCGGGAUGACGGCCUUCGGGUUGUAAACCGCUUUCGCCUGUGACGAAGCGUGAGUGACGGUAAUGGGUAAAGAAGCACCGGCUAACUACGUG
rnacentral:rRNA from 1 species